rnacentral:rRNA from 1 species
AUUGAACGCUGGCGGCAUGCCUUACACAUGCAAGUCGAACGGCAGCACGGGGGCAACCCUGGUGGCGAGUGGCGAACGGGUGAGUAAUGCAUCGGAACGUGCCCAGUAGUGGGGGAUAACCAGUCGAAAGACUGGCUAAUACCGCAUACGACCUACGGGUGAAAGCGGGGGACCGCAAGGCCUCGCGCUAUUGGAGCGGCCGAUGUCUGAUUAGCUAGUUGGCGGGGUAAAGGCCCACCAAGGCGACGAUCAGUAGCUGGUCUGAGAGGACGACCAGCCACACUGGGACUGAGACACGGCCCAGACUCCUACGGGAGGCAGCAGUGGGGAAUUUUGGACAAUGGGCGCAAGCCUGAUCCAGCCAUGCCGCGUGCGGGAAGAAGGCCUUCGGGUUGUAAACCGCUUUUGGCAGGAACGAAACGGUGCGGGUUAACACCUCGCGCUAAUGACGGUACCUGCAGAAUAAGCACCGGCUAACUACGUGCCAGCCGCCGCCGUAA